rnacentral:rRNA from 1 species
AGAGUUUGAUCAUGGCUCAGAAUCAACGCUGGCGGCGUGCCUAACACAUGCAAGUCGAACGAGAAAGUGGAGCAAUCCAUGAGUAAAGUGGCGACCGGGUGAGUAACACGUGACUAACCUACCCUAGAGUGGGGGAUAACCUCGGGAAACCGGGGCUAAUACCGCAUAACAUCGCGAGGGGAAGAUCCUUGCGAUCAAAGGAGCAAUUCGCUCAAGGAGGGGGUCGCGGCUGAUUAGCUAGUUGGUGAGGUAACGGCUCACCAAGGCUAAGAUCAGUAGCCGGCCUGAGAGGGCGCACGGCCACACUGGAACUGAAACACGGUCCAGACUCCUACGGGAGGCAGCAGUGGGGAAUUUUGCGCAAUGGGGGAAACCCUGACGCAGCAACGCCGCGUGGAGGAUGAAGUCCCUUGGGAUGUAAACUCCUUUCGAUCGGGACGAUUAUGACGGUACCGGAAGAAGAAGCACCGGCUAACUCUGUGCCAGCAGCCGCGGUAAUACAGAGGGUGCAAGCGUUGUUCGGAAUUAUUGGGCGUAAAGGGCGCGUAGGCGGUGCGGUAAGACUGUGGUGAAAUCUCCGGGCUCAACUCGGAAAUUGCCGCGGUGACUGCCGUGCUGGAGUGUGGGAGAGGUGAGUGGAAUUCCCGGUGUAGCGGCGAAAUGCGUAGAUAUCGGGAGGAACACCUGUGGCGAAAGCGGCUCACUGGACCACAACUGACGCUGAGGCGCGAAAGCUAGGGGAGCAAACAGGAUUAGAUACCCUGGUAGUCCUAGCCCUAAACGAUGAUUGCUUGGUGUGUCGGGUACCCAAUCCCGACGUGCCGGAGCUAACGCGAUAAGCAAUCCGCCUGGGGAGUACGUCGCAGACUGAAACUCAAAGGAAUUGACGGGGCCCGCACAAGCGGUGGAGCAUGUGGUUCAAUUCGACGCAACGCGAAGAACCAUACCU